CCUACGGGAGGCAGCAGUGAGGAAUAUUGGUCAAUGGGCGCGAGCCUGAACCAGCCAAGUAGCGUGAAGGAUGACUGCCCUACGGGUUGUAAACUUCUUUUAUAAAGGAAUAAAGUGAGGCACGUGUGCCUUUUUGUCUGUACUUUAUGAAUAAGGAUCGGCUAACUCCGUGCCAGCAGCCGCGGUAAUACGGAGGAUCCGAGCGUUAUCCGGAUUUAUUGGGUUUAAAGGGAGCGUAGAUGGGUGGUUAAAUCAGUUGGGAAAGUUUGCGGGUUAACCGUCAAAUUGCAAUUGAUACUGGUAGCCUUGAGUACAGUUGAGGUAGGCGGAAUGCGUGGUGUAGCGGUGAAAUGCUUAGAUAUCACGAAGAACUCCGAUUGCGAAGGCAGCCUACUAACCUGCCACUGACAUUGAUGCUCGAAAGUGUGGGUAUCAAACAGGAUUAGAUACCCCAGUAGUC
rnacentral:rRNA from 1 species